CCUCCAUCUUGACUGAUUUUAUUCAACUUGUCAACUAGUUUGAGGGUGACAAUUCUUGUUUUCAGAAACAAAGUAUGGUGCUCAGCUUCUACCACUAGUAGCCAAAUUAUUUUUGGGGUGGGAUUCUUAUACCUCCAUCUUGACUGAUAAUUUGGUGAGAAAUUAGAUUUUUUUUUUUUUUUUUUUUUUUUUUUCUGGAUGACAGAUAAGUAGAAAAUCAAACACUAAAUCAGAAACUGGUCCUAAAUGGAAGUAAAAAAGAAAUUAACUUUGAGUUAAUUUUAAAGCAUCAAAUUGUAGAUUUGCAGAAAUCAAAUAAAAACUGUGCCGUAGAACUGAAAGUUUUGUUAUGAUAAAUGCUUAAUAAAAGCAGAUGUAUCAAAGGCCGUUAAUAAGAUGGGGAUAAAAAGGGAAAACGAAUUAUAGGAGAGGACGGAUGAAGAAAAAGAAAGGGAAGUAGAGAUAAUGUGGGAAGUAGAGAUAGCCUUGGCGUCCUUCACCUGUGCGGAGAUGGUAGAGAGUGAAGGGAACACUUGGGACCCACCCGAUGCGGGUGAGGUUGUGGGUAGAGAUAAUGUUGUAAUUUCUAAAAUAUAAAACUAAAAGACAUCCACAUCAGCAAAACGAAUAGUAUAACAGGCUAACGAGCAGGUAAAUAGACCGGGCCAGGUAAACGGACCGAGCCAAGUCGAGGGCCUUUAAACCCGACCCAAGUCGUUUAAAAUUGGUGCGUCUCGCCCAUAAAUACCCGGGAUCGAGAGACUUCCAUCCCAGUUAGUUCGAGGCACAAAGGGGGGAACGAGAGCAGGAACGCCUCCUCUCCCUUCUCUCUUUCUCCUCUCCAAUGCCGAUGAUUUGUUUUUCCUGAUCUACCUCGCAUUUCUACUUCUUUGUUUUCACUUUUCUCUCUUGCCUUCGAUAUAAGAGGCGGCGAUGAUGCGACAUGAAGCUUACUGACGGAGUAGAUCGUCUGUCAUUUUGGCGCGCUUGGAUCGAUCAUGGUGACGGCGAAUCGCAGAUUAUCAAUGCAUAUUAUUCCUUUGGAAGAUGUACUUGAGGAUAGUAUUUACAGAUGUGGAGCUCAUCUGAAGGUAAGUUUCGGAGGAGCAUAUCGUAUACUUCCCGAGUCACUGAUAUCACGAUUCUUGGGGGCGUGCAUUCUAUCUUGUUGGCGGAGAUUGCAAUGUAUAUAUUGCAGUAAUUAAUCCUGAAUGAAACCCUAGUUAGAAAUAAUGAUGUUCGUCAUUAAUACCUUAAAUGAUCUCAGGUCACAAUGUUAUUAGUUUCUUGGUUUUGAUUAGCAUUCAUUUUCUUUUACAUUCAUGUACCUGUAAUUUUGAGUGACGUGAUCUGGAAAAUUCUUAGUAGAGAUUAUACUCA